AUUGAACGCUGGCGGCAGGCCUAACACAUGCAAGUCGAACGAGUGGCGGACGGGUGAGUAAUGUCUGGGAAACUGCCUGAUGGAGGGGGAUAACUACUGGAAACGGUAGCUAAUACCGCAUACCAUCGGAUGUGCCCCGAUGGGAUUAGCUAGUAGGUGGGGUAAAGGGACACCUAGGCGACGAUCCCUAGCUGGUCUGAGAGGAUGACCAGCCACACUGGAACUGAGACAGGGUCCAGACUCCUACGGGAGGCAGCAGUGGGGAAAAUGGCAAAAUGGGCGCAAGCCUGAUGCAGCCAUGCCGCGUGUAUGAAGAAGGCCUUCGGGUUUUAAAAUACUUUCAGCGGGGAGGCGUUACCCGAAGAAGAAGCACCGGCUAACUCCGUGCCAGCAGCCGCGGUAAUUC
rnacentral:rRNA from 1 species